rnacentral:rRNA from 1 species
GAUGAACGCUGGCGGCGUGCCUAAUACAUGCCAGUCGAGCGAACGGACGAGAAGCUUGCUUCUCUGAUGUUAGCGGCGGACGGGUGAGAACACGUGGAUAACCUACCUAUAAGACUGGGAUAACUUCGGGAAACCGGAGCUAAUACCGGAUAAUAUUUUGAACCGCAUGGUUCAAAAGUGAAAGACGGUCUUGCUGUCACUUAUAGAUGGAUCCGCGCUGCAUUAGCUAGUUGGUAAGGUAACGGCUUACCAAGGCAACGAUGCAUAGCCGACCUGAGAGGGUGAUCGGCCACACUGGAACUGAGACACGGUCCAGACUCCUACGGGAGGCAGCAGUAGGGAAUCUUCCGCAAUGGGCGAAAGCCUGACGGAGCAACGCCGCGUGAGUGAUGAAGGUCUUCGGAUCGUAAAACUCUGUUAUUAGGGAAGAACAUAUGUGUAAGUAACUGUGCACAUCUUGACGGUACCUAAUCAGAAAGCCACGGCUAACUACGUG